ACUUUUGAGACAAUGGUAUAUGAUAGCGAUCGAGCAAAGCGCACUGCGUGAUGCUCCCCGCUUCUCCUCCCUGAGCGGGUGCCUGUCGUUUUUCGAUUAGGCUGUUUAACCCGCCGUUGAACGGCGGGUUUUUUUAUGGGCAGCCGCAAUCGCGACAU
rnacentral:ncRNA from 21 species